rnacentral:rRNA from 1 species
AUUGAACGCUGGCGGAAUGCUUUACACAUGCAAGUCGAACGGUAGAGGGGGCAACCCCUCGAGAGAGGCGAACGGGUGAGUAAUAUAUCGGAACGUGCCCAGUCGUGGGGGAUAACGUAGCGAAAGUUACGCUAAUACCGCAUACGAUCUACGGAUGAAAGCGGGGGAUCGCAAGACCUCGCGCGAUUGGAGCGGCCGAGAUCAGAUUAGGUAGUUGGUGGGGUAAAGGCGCACCAAGCCAACGAUCUGUAGCUGGUCUGAGAGGACGACCAGCCACACUGGAACUGAGACACGGUCCAGACUCCUACGGGAGGCAGCAGUGGGGAAUUUUGGACAAUGGACGCAAGUCUGAUCCAGCCAUUCCGCGUGCAGGAUGAAGGCCCUCGGGUUGUAAACUGCUUUUGUACGGAACGAAAAGGUUUCCAUUAAUACUGGGAGCUCAUGACGGUACCGUAAGAAUAAGCACCGGCUAACUACGUGCCAGCCGCCGCAGUAA